rnacentral:sRNA from 1 species
ACACGGGAGAGGAGGUGGUCUGACGUUGAAGAACUCUAGGACACGUGAGGUGGCUGUCAGCUAGCCGCAACCGCUGACGGAUUCACUUUUCGGAGACCGCGCGAGCGGCAAGCGAAUCCAGGGCAGCUACCCGGCCCCCGAGCCCUCGGUCUUAUCCGGCCGAGACCUGAAAGCAGGUAUGGCUCGGGGGCCGUUCGCG